AUCCGCCUACGGGGCGCAGCAGUGGGGAAUAUUGCACAAUGGGGGGAACCCUGACGCAGCAAUGCCGCGUGAAGGAUGAAGGUUUUCGGAUUGUAAACUUCUUUUGUACGGGACGAAGAAAGUGACGGUACCGUAAGAAUAAGCCACGGCUAACUACGUGCCAGCAGCCGCGGUAAUACGUAGGUGGCAAGCGUUAUCCGGAUUUACUGGGUGUAAAGGGCGAGUAGGCGGGAUUGCAAGUCAGACGUGAAAACUAUGGGCUCAACCGAUAGAGUGCAUUUGAAACUGCAGUUCUUGAGUGACGG
rnacentral:rRNA from 1 species